rnacentral:rRNA from 1 species
GACGAACGCUGGCGGCGUGCUUAACACAUGCAAGUCGAGCGGAAAGGCUCCUUCGGGGGUACUCGAGCGGCGAACGGGUGAGUAACACGUGAGUAAUCUGACCUGCGCUCUGGGAUAGCCACCGGAAACGGUGAUUAAUACCGGAUAUGACCGCUACACGCAUGUGUUGGUGGUGGAAAGUUUUUCGGCGCAGGAUCUGCUCGCGGCCUAUCAGCUUGUUGGUGAGGUAAUGGCUCACCAAGGCUUUGACGGGUAGCCGGCCUGAGAGGGUGACCGGUCACACUGGGACUGAGACACGGCCCAGACUCCUACGGGAGGCAGCAGUGGGGAAUAUUGGACAAUGGGCGGAAGCCUGAUCCAGCAACGCCGCGUGAGGGAUGACGGCCUUCGGGUUGUAAACCUCUUUCAGUACCGACGAAGCGAAAGUGACGGUAGGUACAGAAGAAGGGCCGGCCAACUACGUGCCAGCCGCCGCCGUAAAAC